rnacentral:rRNA from 1 species
UGGGGAAUUUUGGACAAUGGGGGCAACCCUGAUCCAGCCAUGCCGCGUGCGGGAAGAAGGCCUUCGGGUUGUAAACCGCUUUUGGUCGGGAAGAAAAGGCACGGGCUAAUACAACGUGUUCUUGACGGUACCGGCAGAAUAAGCACCGGCUAACUACGUGCCAGCAGCCGCGGUAAUACGUAGGGUGCGAGCGUUAAUCGGAAUUACUGGGCGUAAAGCGUGCGCAGGCGGUUCGCCGUGUCCGAUGUGAAAGCCCCGGGCUUAACCUGGGAAUGGCAUUGGAAACUGGCGGGCUGGAGUAUGGCAGAGGGGGGUGGAAUUCCACGUGUAGCAGUGAAAUGCGUAGAGAUGUGGAGGAACACCGAUGGCGAAGGCAGCCCCCUGGGCCAAUACUGACGCUCAGGCACGAAAGCGUGGGGAGCAAACAGGAUUAGAUACCCCCGUAGUCC